rnacentral:miRNA from 1 species
UGUAUUAGGCUGAAGCAAAAGUAAUUGUGGUUUUUGCCGUACUUUUAAUGGCAAAACUGCAAUAACCUUUGCACCAACCUAAUAAAUAU